AAAGGAAUGCUGAACCCCAGAACCAAUUGCAGAACUUAGAGGAGAGAUAGAUUCGUUGGACACAUUCUGCUCUCCUGAACCAGCAGCUUGAAAAUCUGCUUGCCAUCCAGAAAAGUCAUCACUUGUUUGGAUAGUAGACGAGGUCACAGCUGGUUCAGCAGAUCUGAGAUUCUCAAACAAACUAAGAUCCUCGUGGCUUCCAACUGUUUU
rnacentral:misc_RNA from 1 species